rnacentral:lncRNA from 1 species
CAAAGUUGAACCGGGUGAAGAAAGGAAAAGAAAGAUUAUUUUCUACGAAACAGAAUCAUUUACAGUUGCUGUCUUGAAUCUUGUAAAGAAGGUUAGUUUAUAGAACACCUUCCAGGCAAUGCGGCAUGAAAAUUAUAAAUUCUGAAUAAUAUGUUUUAUCCCUUGGGGAAUUAAUCCAAUCUAAGCCAAUAAGCACAGAAGCCCUAUGUCAGUGAACAGUUUUUAUCAGUCGAAAGUAAUUGUUUUGAUGACAGAAAUGGUUAUAGACAAUGUUCAGAAAGUUUGGAUUAAUAGUUCCUGGCUUUUUUUAAUUUAAAAAAAUUUCCUGCAUGGUCUCCCUUUGCUGAGCACAGGUUGCCACUUGCAUGUGGUUGGCCCCUUUGCAAAAUGUUUUAAAACAUGUUUUUAUGAGUUGAAAAUUAUUGUUUUUGAUGAGAAAAUCUGUUUCAGUUAAACAUGAACAGAUUUUCAUAACAGGGUAAAAAACAGCAAAAAAGUAGGGCUAUAGCCUUCUUUUCGUCCAUUUUGACAAUUUUUUCAUUUUUCAUAAGGGGGGAAAACCUCUCCUCCACAGAGCCUCCUUAAGUAUUUACAAAUAACUUACAUGAAGUUUCCUGAAUAAAAGUGAGCGUGCACGGUGUGAUGGGAACAUUGAAAUGAAGUUGGGGAGGCUCUGCCAGAUAAUGUGAUGAAGUAUGGUUUUUAGUGUGAAGUUUCUUCGAAACUUCACAGUAUUGUGAUGACUGGGAGGAAAUUCAAACUUAUCAGUCAGUCAUUCAGUCAGUCAUUCAGUCAGUCAGUCAUUCAGUCAGUCAGUCAGUCAGUCAUACAGUAAACUUUCCGGGGGGUGUAUACGAUUUAUGUUCGUAGUGAUUUAUUGUGCUUUGUCAGUACUUUGAAGGUUAUUUAAGCAAUUUCAGUUAACUUAUUUACAUAUUCUGUUAUCCUUUUGCCAAGUUCACAAAAAUUUUGAGGAAUCGCUUUUGUUAUUGUAUUUUUUUGUAAAUUUUAGAACAUUCGCUUCUCAUGUUGUGUAAAGGAUUUUUACCCCGGAACACCCGAUUGUUUUUUAGUAGCGCAAAUGCGCAUGCGCUAUCAAGCCGUAGAUCACGAUGGCGUGACGAUAUGCUAGGAAGGAGUGACAGUGUUGUUUUCAGAUGUAUAAACAUUUCAGACGUGAAUAUUGAGCAAAUUUUUGAAAAUCUACGCAAUAUAUAAAUUGAUCUUAUGCAUUACGGGCGUUCAAUUAAGUGUCGAUAAUAUUUAGACGGUAUAUUCAAUAUACAGAGCUAGGAAGGAGCUAGACCGCCUAGACAGUGCAGUCAACACUCAAGUGUAUAAACAUUUCAGACGUAUUAAAUAUUGAGUCGAAAAUCUUUGAGAUUCUAGGCAUUCAAUUGAGUGCUGAUAUUAUUUUCACGGUAUACUCAUUAUACGGAGGUACAGUACGUACGAAGAAGCGAGACAGUGUUGUUUUCAAGUAUAUAAACAUUUCAGACAUGAAUAUUGAGAAAAUCUUUGAGAUUCUACGCAAUAAUAUAAUAUAUAAAUUGAUGUUAUAAUUACCGGCAUUCAAUUAAGUGCCAAUCGAUAUUAUUUAGACCGUGUAUUCAUUAUACAUUGUCAUUGACUGUAUAAGGUGCUACAUCACAGAACUCAGUACAAAGAGCGAAAAAUUGCAUCAGAUCUGCAUCAGAUCAAUAAAGCGUAAACAACUAUUAAACAGAAGCGGGUGUUUGUACAGGCGUUUACGAAGAAAAUAUUGCGAGACGAAAGAAAUCAGUUGAGUCAGAGCUCCUUAUUUAAAUAAGAAAGACGAGGAGAUAGCCAAUGUGUUAUCGCCAACGUGUUAUCGCCAAUCGCUUGGCUCGCCAACAAGAUUUAUGCAAUGGAAGAAAAAAGCAAGGAGGUACAUGUAGCCAACAUGUACUGUCACGGACCUUGUUUACUGUCUAGCACAACGCCGUUAUCAACGGUGCAAACUCGUGUUCAGUGCAACGAUAACUCUACCAGAGCUUACGAGAAUCAAUCUGUAGUAUUCUGUACACAGAACUGUAUCAAAGCUUGUCAAAACUGCUUUAAACACUGCAGCUAUAACUGUGAAACUAUCGAAAUCUAAAGUGACAUUAUUCAACACAUGCGAACAGCUGAAAAUAGACACAACGUAACCUUCGAAAAGUCAAAGGUCAAUGAGACUUGUUAUUGUGAAACAUGUCACAAUUAGGUUAAAUGCGGAAGCGGAUGGAGCGGAUCCACGGAACGGAUAUGCGGAUAAAAUACGGAACGGAUGAAGAUAAAAUGCUUCCUUUCAAUGAUAUAACGACGUAGUGCUUAUUAUUCAUAACAUAUCGUAUACAGCUAUUUCAAUUAUAGUUUUAGAUAAGUUUAGCAUAGCAGUAGCCUCGUGGGGAUGCUUUUAGCGACAGCUGCAAAUGCAAAUGCAAAUGAAAAUUUAGAAUAUGCAAAAUUUGGUUGUUGGUGAAACAAUUAAAAUUUAGCAUGCGUGUAGCAUCACAAUAAAUAGAUAAAUUGUGUCAGUUUCACAAGGCACGUUUCUGAUGUGUUAGGCUUGUUUCAAAUGUCACGCUACUCGUGUGCCGAGCGCAUUAAAAGCAAUAGAUAAUAAGAUGAAAUGCCUUUGGUAAUUGUUUAUUUCGUAGUGUAAGCCAUCGAUCAGCUUUUCUAGGUUGUCAGCGAACCUAUAUAGUUCUUGCAGUGUCUUGAUUUCAAUUUGAAACUUCACACUAUCCUUGGAUCCCUAGUUGAACCAAACUAGUUGUUUGACCUUUUUUAAUCUUGAAAUCGACGGAAAUGUGAAAGAAAUUGAAAUGGAUCUUAAUAAUCUGAGUAUCAAAGUUCAAUAGAGUCAUUUUUAUAAAGAAAUGUUGCAAUUACGAGGAUAUUUAUAAUUAGAUAGCUCAUAUCCAUUGAUAUUCGUUUGCAAUUUCUCAAUAUUUUUCGAUGCAAAUGGACAGAAGAUAUUGAUAUUGAAUUCACCGCAGGAUACUCAAGUACGCCUGAAAAUGAAAGUUGAAAACAUGUUUUAAUACCCUCGGGGGUGAUCGAACUUCGCUACAAACGAUUAUAUAAUUAUAUACGAUGCCAUAUUGAUUGCAUUAACCCUCGCAAAGGCUUCCUUUAUUUAGCUCUUCCCAUCGCUCCUUGCAUGCUCACUUUUCCCUUACUAGAAACUUCAUGUAAGCCUCUGCAGAGGAGAGAGGGGAAAAACGACAAAAAAAUAAGGCUAAGCCUUCACUUUUCGUCGAUUUUCACAACUUUUUUCAUUAAGGUCUGUGAUAUCCCCCCUUUGCAUUUGACCCAAAGUUUGGAAUGGCUUGGGGCAGUUUUGGAAUUUUGGAAAAAUUUCAAAUUGUCCCCCCAGGCCCUUUGUUGAUCCUGGGGUUGCCUGUAUUCCCCUAUUUGCAUUUGGUGAUCGUUUUGAUGAGAGAAAUGUUUCUCAACAAUUUUCAGAAAGUUUGGUGUGAGUUGGGCCUCUUGAAUUUUUCCUGUGAUUGCCAUUUGUUGACUGUAGGGUUGCCUAUGAUCCCCCUUUGCAUUUGACCCAAAGUUUUUGAAACAAGUUUUUAUAAGUCGAAAGUGAUCGUUUUGAUGAGAGAAAGAAAAUUUUGUGAGUUGGGGGAUCUUCCUGUGGUACUCCCAUUUUUAAAAACAAAAAUAUGAUUUUUUUCUGUUCCUUUAUCUGCUAUCAGUUAGAUAAUACAUGUUGUCAGUUGAUAUGUGCAAAUAACUAGAUUAAUAUCUUUCAUUGUUUAGGUAUUUUGUUCCAAGAGAACUUGGAUCAGUGAUCAGUCGUCAAAGUUGAACCGGAUGACUUGACAGGAAAAGAAAGAUUAUUUUAUACCAAACAAGAAUCAUUUACACUCGCUGUCUUGAAUCGUGUAAAGAAG